CAGUUCCCAAAGAAACCACGUGCGCACUACCACCUAAAACUGCCAAUGAAAAUGAAGGUCCUGCGCAGUAAAAUAUUUAUACAACUGCUGGGGCCACUAGGCUUCAGCGGGUGUGGAGGCGGGGAGAGAGGAGGAGUAAAGGCUGUUUACAAACUUGACGUACACACGCAGUCCUAUCCCUACGGUCCUGGAAUUGGGGGUUACUAUCUUGGAAUCUAGGGGCACUCCAGGCUCUGGGCUCAGACGGCUGGCUUCUGCCUACCCGAGCCUUAACCUUUCAAGGACCAGAAGGAUUCCAGAGCUCUUGCCCUAGGUCCUGGGGCAGCGAUGACUCACUGCAGCACCCCCUCCCACUUCGCCAAGCUGCCGUCUCCGCCCACCCCCAAACAAUCUCGACAGCGCAUUUCGGGAGCCACGGCUCCGGGCGCUUUGCUGGGGGCUAAAGGGGUUUAUCCCUUUCCUUGAAUCCCAGCAGGCUAGAACUACCCCCUCCCAGUCUUCAGGCUUGCCACGCUCUCCACCCGAUCCUUCCAUUGAAAGGCAGAGAAGGAAGGAUGUGCUUGGGAACUUUAAGACCCACGAACGACAGCGCACUGAUGGAGCAGCCCAGUGUCUGGGGCAAAGUCCUCGAGGUUCAUUCAUUCAGGAAGCCUCUGACCAGCCUUUACCAUGCGCUGAGUGAGAAGCUGAGGAUAAGGAAAGAGCAAGACCCCCAAGAAACCCUGAUGUCUGGCUGAAAGCCGAAGCAUGACGCAACUUUGCUAUAUUUCUCUCCAACAAGGAUUUGUAUAUUUUCGCUUUCUCCUCAAGUAACACCUGGACCUGCUCCUUUCCCUUCAAACGCUGAGGGCUCAGUCUCCAAGUUCCUUUAUGAAACAGGGUGUACCAUCAGAGACGCAGGUAUUUAUUGAAACCUGCUUUGUGCUGGGCAAUGUGCCAGAUGUUGGGGAUAAAAUGGUGAGCAGACAGAUCCUGUGCCUGUCUUUAUUGAGCUUGG
rnacentral:lncRNA from 1 species